rnacentral:rRNA from 1 species
ACUGCAUGGAAGAGAGAAUGCCGGAAUGAGUAGCGAGAUAGAGGUGGGAAUCCUCUAGGCCGAAUAUCCAAGGUUUCCAGAGUAAAGCUGAUCUGCUCUGGGUAAGUCGGGGCCUAAGGCGAGGACGAGAGUCGUAGCCGAUGGACAACAGGUGGAGAUUCCUGUACUGCGGUAUGACAGAACUGUGGGGACACGUAAGGAAAGCGGAAGCCGGGAAUGGAAAGCCCGGUGCAAGCGGGGUACCAGCCACUUCGCAAAUCCGGGUGGCAAUGGGAAGCCGUGAUGCGGAGCGAAAUAAAGUAGCGAAGUCCGUGAGCCAUGCGUCAAGAAAAGCCGCUAUUGUUUAUACCGUACCCGUACCGUAGACCGACACAGGUGGAUGAGGAGAGAAUCCUAAGGCCGGCGGAAGAAGCAUUGUCAAGGAACUCGGCAAAAUGGCCCCGUAACUUAGGGAUAAGGGGUGCCUCAGAAAUGAGGCCGCAGAGAAUAGGCUCAAGCAACUGUUUAGCAAAAACACAGGUCUAUGCGAAACCGAAAGGUGAGGUAUAUGGGCUGACGCCUGCCCGGUGCUGGAAGGUUAAGAGGAGAGGUUAGCGCAAGCGAAGCUUUGAAUUUAAGCCCCAGUAAACGGCGGCCGUAACGAUAACGGUCCUAAGGUAGCGAAAUUCCUUGUCGGGUAAGUUCCGACCCGCACGAAAGGCGUAAUGAUUUGAGCGCUGUCUCGACAAUGCAUCCGGUGAAAUUGAAGUACCAGUGAAGAUGCUGGUUACCUGCGCCAGGACGGAAAGACCCCAUGGAGCUUUACUCCAGUUUGGUACUGGGACUCGGUAUUGCAUGUACAGGAUAGGUGGGAGGCUAGGAGAUAGUAACGCCAGUUAUUAUGGAGCCGCUGUUGGGAUACCACCCUUGCAGUAUUGGGUUUCUAACCAGCCGCCGUGACCCGGCGGUGGGACAAUGCCAGACGGGGAGUUUGACUGGGGCGGUCGCCUCCGAAAGGGUAUCGGAGGCGCCCAAAGGUUCCCUCAGAAUGGACGGAAACCAUUCGAAGAGUGCAAAGGCAGAAGGGAGCUUGACUGCGACACCGACGGGUGGAGCAGGUACGAAAGUAGGGCUUAGUGAUCCGGUGGUAUUAAGUGGGAAUGCCAUCGCUCAACGGAUAAAAGCUACCCUGGAUAACAGGCUUAUCACUCCCAAGAGUUCACAUCGACGGAGUGGUUUGGCACCUCGAUGUCGGCUCAUCGCAUCCUGGGGCUGUAGUAGGUCCCAAGGGUUGGGCUGUUCGCCCAUUAAAGCGGUACGCGAGCUGGGUUCAGAACGUCGUGAGACAGUUCGGUCCCUAUCCGGCGUGGGCGUAGGAUAUCUGAGAGGAGCUGUCCUUAGUACGAGAGGACCGGGAUGGACGGGCCGCUGGUGCAUCGGUUAGACUGCCAAGUCUACGGCCGAGUAGCCAAGCCCGGAAGGGAUAAACGCUGAAGGCAUCUAAGCGUGAAGCCCCCCUUAAGAUGAGAUAUCCCAUUCGAAAGAAGUAAACCCCCUUGAAGACGACGAGGUAGAUAGGGCAGAGGUGGAAGUGCAGUAAUGCAUGGAGCUGACUGUUACUAAUCGGGUGAGGGCUUGACC